rnacentral:rRNA from 1 species
GACGAACGCUGGCGGCGUGCUUAACACAUGCAAGUCGAACGGAAAGGCCCUGCUUUUGUGGGGUGCUCGAGUGGCGAACGGGUGAGUAACACGUGAGUAACCUGCCCUUGACUUUGGGAUAACUUCAGGAAACUGGGGCUAAUACCGGAUAGGAGCUCCUGCUGCAUGGUGGGGGUUGGAAAGUUUCGGCGGUUGGGGAUGGACUCGCGGCUUAUCAGCUUGUUGGUGGGGUAGUGGCUUACCAAGGCUUUGACGGGUAGCCGGCCUGAGAGGGUGACCGGCCACAUUGGGACUGAGAUACGGCCCAGACUCCUACGGGAGGCAGCAGUGGGGAAUAUUGCACAAUGGGCGGAAGCCUGAUGCAGCAACGCCGCGUGCGGGAUGACGGCCUUCGGGUUGUAAACCGCUUUCGCCUGUGACGAAGCGUGAGUGACGGUAAUGGGUAAAGAAGCACCGGCUAACUACGUGCCAGCAGCCGCGGUGAUACGUAGGGUGCGAGCGUUGUCCGGAUUUAUUGGGCGUAAAGGGCUCGUAGGUGGUUGAUCGCGUCGGAAGUGUAAUCUUGGGGCUUAACCCUGAGCGUGCUUUCGAUACGGGUUGACUUGAGGAAGGUAGGGGAGAAUGGAAUUCCUGGUGGAGCGGUGGAAUGCGCAGAUAUCAGGAGGAACACCAGUGGCGAAGGCGGUUCUCUGGGCCUUUCCUGACGCUGAGGAGCGAAAGCGUGGGGAGCGAACAGGCUUAGAUACCCUGGUAGUCCACGCUGUAAACGGUGGGUACUAGGUGUGGGGUCCAUUCCACGGGUUCCGUGCCGUAGCUAACGCUUUAAGUACCCCGCCUGGGGAGUACGGCCGCAAGGCUAAAACUCAAAGGAAUUGACGGGGCCCCGCACAAGCGGCGGAGCAUGCGGAUUAAUUCGAUGCAACGCGUAGAACCUUACCUGGGUUUGACAUGGAUCGGGAGCGCUCAGAGAUGGGUGUGCCUCUUUUGGGGUCGGUUCACAGGUGGUGCAUGGCUGUCGUCAGCUCGUGUCGUGAGAUGUUGGGUUAAGUCCCGCAACGAGCGCAACCCUUGUUCACUGUUGCCAGCACGUUAUGGUGGGGACUCAGUGGAGACCGCCGGGGUCAACUCGGAGGAAGGUGGGGAUGACGUCAAGUCAUCUUGCCCCUUAUGUCCAGGGCUUCACGCAUGCUACAAUGGCUGGUACAGAGAGUGGCGAGCCUGUGAGGGUGAGCGAAUCUCGGAAAGCCGGUCUCAGUUCGGAUUGGGGUCUGCAACUCGACCUCAUGAAGUCGGAGUCGCUAGUAAUCGCAGAUCAGCAACGCUGCGGUGAAUACGUUCCCGGG